rnacentral:lncRNA from 8 species
AUGCCCACCUGUCAGUGUGGUGGCAGUAACAGUAAUAGUAACGGUAACAAAAACAUUAACGUUAACAGUAACUGUAGUAGUAACAGUAACAGUAGUAGUAACAGUAACAGUUACAGUAGUAGUAACAGUAGUAGUAACAGUAACAGAAACAGAAACAGUAACAGAAACAGAAACAGUAGUAGUAACAGUAACAGUAGUAGUAACAGUAACAGAAACAGUAACAGUUACAGUAGUAGUAACAGUAACAGUUACAGUAGUAGUAACAGUAACAGUAGUAUUAACAGUAACAGUAGUAGUAACAGUAACAGUUACAGUAGUAGUAGUAGUAGUAGUAACAGUAGUAGUAACAGUAGUAGUAACAGUAGUAGUAAUAGUAGUAGUAACAGUAGUAGUAACAGUAGUAGUAAUAGUAACAGAAACAGAAACAGUAACAGUAGUAGUAACAGUAACAGAAACAGAAACAGUAACAGUAGUAGCAACAGUAGUAGUAGUAGUAACAGUAACAGUAGUAGUAACAGUAACAGUAGUAGUAACAGUAGUAACAGUAGUAGUAACAGUAACAGUAGUAGUAACAGUAACAGAAACAGAAACAGUAACAGUAGUAACAGUAACAGUAGUAGUAGUAACAGUAACAGUAGUAGUAACAGCAGUAACAGUAGUAGUAACAGUAGUAGUAACAGAAACAGAAACAGUAACAGUAGUAGUAGUAACAGUAACAGUAGUAGUAACGGUAACAGUAGUAGUAAUAGUAACAGUAGUAGUAGUAGUAGUAGUAGUAGUAACAGCAACAGUAGUAGUAGUAGUAGUAACAGCAACAGUAGUAGUAGUAACAGUGACAACAGUAACAGUAGUAGUAGUAACAGUAACAGUAGUAGUGGUAGUAGUAACAUUAGUAGUAGUAGUAGUAACAGUGGUAACAGUAGCAGUAGUAACAGUAACAGUAGUAGUGGUAGUAACAGUAACAGGAGUAGUGGUAACAGUAACAGGAGUAGUGGUAACAGUAACAGGAGUAGUGGUAACAAUAACAGUAGUAGUAGUAACAGUAACAGUAGUAGUAGUAGUAACAGUAACAGUAGUAGUAACAGUAACAGUAGUAGUAACAGAAACAGUAGCAUUAACAGUAGUAACAGUAGUAACAGUAGUAGUAGUAGUAGUAGUGGUAGUAACAGUAGUAGUAGUAACAGUAACAGUAGUAGUAGUAGUAGUGGUAGUAACAGUAGUAACAGUAGUAGUAGUAACAGUAGUAGUAGUAGUAACAGUAGUAGUAGUAACAGUAGUAGUAGUAACAGUAGUAGUAGUAACAGUAACAGUAAAAGUAGUAACAGUAACAGUAGGAACAGUAACAGUAGUAACAGUAACAGUAGUAACAGUAACAGUAGUAGUAGUAGUAACAGUAACAGUAGUAGUAACAGUAGUAGCAGUGACAGUUUAAGUAGUAACAGUAACAGUAGUAGCAGUAACAGUUGUGUGUGUGUGUGUGUGUGUGUGUGUGUGUGUGUGUGUGUGUGUGUGUGUGUGUGUGUGUGUGUGUGUGUGUGUGUGAUAUGUAAGUACAUUUCCCUGUGUCCGUGCAUAUUGCUGAGGAGAGGCGCUGGUCUAGUCUGGUCCAGCGAGGCUGAGGGAGGGGGGAGGGGACAGGCUGACUGCGGAGAGUAUGAGGCAGGCAGAGCGGGGGGAAGCGCUUGCUAA